UCGUUACCAGGUUUCCGUAGGUGAACCUGCGGAAGGAUCAUUAACGAGUUUUGAAAUGGGUUGUAGCUGGCCUUCCGAGGCAUGUGCACGCCCUGCUCAUCCACUCUACACCUGUGCACUUACUGUAGGUCUGCGUGGGUUUCUAGCCUCCGGGUUGGGAGCAUUCUGCAGGCUUAUGUAUACUAUAAACACUUUAAAGUAACAGAAUGUAAACGCGUCUAACGCAUUUUAAUACAACUUUCAGCAACGGAUCUCUUGGCUCUCGCAUCGAUGAAGAACGCAGCGAAAUGCGAUAAGUAAUGUGAAUUGCAGAAUUCAGUGAAUCAUCGAAUCUUUGAACGCACCUUGCGCUCCUUGGUAUUCCGAGGAGCAUGCCUGUUUGAGUGUCAUGAAAUUUCAACCCAUAAAUCCUUGUGGAAGUAUGGGCUUGGAUUUGGAGGUUUGCUGGGUCCCCUGGGGUCCGGCUCCUCUCGAACGCAUUAGCUUGAUUCCGUGCGGAUCGGCUCUCAGUGUGAUAAUUAUCUACGCUGUGACCGUGAAGCGUUUGGCGAGCUUCCAACCGUCUUUUUUGGACAACCUUAUGACAUCUGACCUCAAAUCAGGUAGGACUACCCGCUGAACUUAAGCAUAUCAAUAAGCGGAGGAAAAGAAACUAACAAGGAUUCCCCUAGUAACUGCGAGUGAAGCGGG
rnacentral:rRNA from 1 species